GAUGAACGCUGACAGAAUGCUUAACACAUGCAAGUCAACUGUGGCGGACGGGUGAGUAACGCGUAAAGAACUUGCCUCACAGAUAGGGACAACAUUAGGAAACGAAUGCUAAUACCUGAUACUGUGAGAGAGCUUUGCGUCCCAUUAGCUAGUUGGAGAGGUAACGGCUCACCAAGGCGAGGAUGGGUAGCCGGCCUGGGAGGGUGAUCGGCCACAAGGGGACAGGGGCACGGCCAUUAGUCCAACGGGAGGCAGGGGUGGGGAAUAGUGGACAAUAGACCGAAGUCUGAUCAAGCAUUUCGGAGUGUACAAUGAAGUUUUCGGAAUGUAAAGUGCUUUCAGUUGGGAAGCGGUACCUACAGAAGAAGUGACGGCUAAAUACGUGCCAGCAGCCGCGGUAAUUC
rnacentral:rRNA from 1 species